AGCCUACGGGAGGCAGCAGUGAGGAAUAUUGGUCAAUGGGCGCGAGCCUGAACCAGCCAAGUCGCGUGAGGGAUGACGGCCCUACGGGUUGUAAACCUCUUUUGUCGGGGAGCAAAUUCCGCCACGUGUGGCGGAGUCGAGAGUACCCGAAGAAAAAGCAUCGGCUAACUCCGUGCCAGCAGCCGCGGUAAUACGGAGGAUGCGAGCGUUAUCCGGAUUUAUUGGGUUUAAAGGGUGCGUAGGCGGGUUAUCAAGUCAGCGGUAAAAUCGUGGAGCUCAACUCCAUCCAGCCGUUGAAACUGAUG
rnacentral:rRNA from 1 species